UACGUAGGGCGCAAGCGUUGUCCGGAAUUAUUGGGCGUAAAGAGCUCGUAGGCGGCUUGUCACGUCGGAUGUGAAAGCCCGAGGCUUAACCUCGGGUCUGCAUUCGAUACGGGCUAGCUAGAGUGUGGUAGGGGAGAUCGGAAUUCCUGGUGUAGCGGUGAAAUGCGCAGAUAUCAGGAGGAACACCGGUGGCGAAGGCAGGUCUCUGGGCCAUAACUGACGCUGAGAAGCGAAAGCAUGGGGAGCGAACAGG
rnacentral:rRNA from 1 species